rnacentral:lncRNA from 13 species
GCUGUGUCCCCAGUGGCCCCUCGGGUCCCCUGGGAUCCCCCAUAUUUCCCCCUCCCCGGUGUCCCUGAUUCCCCCCCUACAGGAGGAGGCACAGCGGGACAAGACCAACGUCGUCAAAAACACGGAUUGUCCUGAAUUCCGGGCGCGGUUCCGGCUGCGGCUGCUCCGGGGGCACCGGGGGCUGCGCAGGCUCCUGAGCUCCCGCGGGAUUAAGUUCGAGGUGACCCAGAAAGGGGGGCUGUUCCGGCCGGAGCGGGCUCUGGGUUCCGCACAGCUGCGGCUCGAGGGGCUGGAAGGGGCCUGUGAACUCCGGGAGCAGCUGCAGGUGAGGGGGCUUCCCAGGCAUUCCCGAUCCCGACGCUUCCUGGUGGUCCCAGAUGUGCCUCCCUUUUGAUCCCGGUGCUUCCCAGUGUUCCCCACUUCCACAGGACAUUCCCACCCCCAGCAUUCCCACCGUUCCCCAUCCCCCAGGCUCAUUCCCGCUCCCUCCAUCCCCACUGUUGGUGCUAUUCCCGGUGUUCUGCAGCUGCUGGACCCCCCCCGCCAGACGGGCGGGCAGCUGGAGGUGUGGGUGCGGAUCCGGGAGCCGCUGGGAGCGCAGCGGCAGCUGGAGCCGCGCUCCGAGCGCUGGCUGGUGCUGGAGCCGGGAGCCGAGGCCACGGUCGCCGUUCCCAAACCGUCUGUGGCGGCCCCGAAAAAGGACCCGAGCAACAGGUGAGGGCUGGGGAGGACUUGGAAUUCCACAGGGAAUUCCAGGGGCAGGUUAUUAUGGGGGAAGAAUUGGCAUGGGAAUUGGGGGUGGAAAGCUCUGGGACCCCCCCCCUUCUCUCCCCCAAUGUCCCAGGGCCGAACUGUAUUUUUCAGGGGUCUCCCCCUCCCCCCCCAUCAUGUCCCCCCCUCCCUGGUCCCCCUUCCCAGGUCCGUCCCGACAUUCCCAACCCCCCCCCUGCUGCUGUUUGACCGGGAGCGGCUGGAGCGGAAGGUGA